rnacentral:rRNA from 1 species
GAUGAACGCUGGCGGCGUGCCUGAUACAUGCAAGUCGAACGAACAGACGCGUUUGUUGGUCCUUCGGCGGCGGCCGCGUGCGUAAGACGUACGUGUAGUUCCCCUACCUGGGGAACAGGUGUCACAACGGGUACCCGGAGCUCAUACCGGAUACUCUUUCGAUCCGCGUGGUUCAAUAGCAAGAGACGGCGGUGCGGUCCCUUGUCGAUUGAGCUGCGCCGUAUUAGCUAGUUGUUCAGGUAACGGCUUAACAAGGCAACGAUACGUAGCCGACCUGAGAGGGUGAUCGGCCACACUGGGACUGAGACACGGCCCAGACUCCUACGGGAGGCAGCAGUAGGGAAUCUUACGCAAAGGGCGAAAGCCUGACGGAGCAACGCCGCGUGAGGGAUGAAGGUCUUCGGAUCGUAAAACUCUGUUGUUAGGGAAGAACAAACGUGUAAGUAACUGGGAGGGUCAUGACGGUACCUAAUGAAUAAGCCACGGCUAACUACGUG